rnacentral:rRNA from 1 species
CAAAGAACUUUGAAGAGAGAGUUCAAAAGGACGUGAAACCACUUGCAAGUAAACAGAUGGAACCACGAAGUGUAGCUGGGAGGAGAAUUCAAUUUUACUUAAAGAACAAUUGUGGUUAUGAGUAGUGUGUAUUCUUGGCUUACUUUUCUUGAAGUAAGUUUGAGUAAAGGCAUUUGCUCUUCCACUUAUUAUUAGUGUUCUUUCUUUAGUAAAUGCAUUUUCACUCUUCUCAUGCUCGAGCCUUGUACAAUAGGGUAAUAUUUAAAGGAAAAUAUUACAUGCAAUAAAUAUGCCAUGUGAUCAGUUUGCUAGGGUUCAUUUAUUCUAAUGGAUUUUAUCUAUUUAGUUAUAAAUGUAAACUAUGCUUAUCUGUGUAAUAUAUGUAUGUUUUUUAAACAUUCUAUAUAUUAUAUCAAAACUAUUUUCCACCCUAUUGUUUAUGAAAGUUUCUCUAAGGAGAAUGCUUACAUAGAUUAAGGGUAGGAUAUCUGUUUGUCAUAUUUGUCUAUCAAUUGUUUAUUAGGAUAAUUUUAUUCAUUAAUUGAAUGAGAAUUCCUGAUUGAUAGAUGAACUGAAUAUGCAGCAGAUAAUUCUUUCUGAAACCUACCUGUAUAAUAUGCAUCAUAUUGAAUGUAUAACUGCACAUAUUAAAAUGCCUAUUGGUUUUUCUAAUAGUGUAUUUGUAUGUGUAUGUAAUAUGUUGCAUAAAAUCUAAGGCCAGUAGAUCGGUAAUCCAUCUGACCC